CCAUAAAUUUCCCUUGCCUACGCAUCAUGCUUCUCCCAUACCUCCCUCCUUAUCUCGGCCUCCUCUUUCCUCCUCCCUCCUCCUCUUCCCUCCUCCUCCCUGCACGCAGCUCCUCCCACCACUGAGUCUUGAGCAACCGCUGCGCGUGGCCCCCGUUGCAGCCCGUUGCCCCAUCGCCACCCGUCGCCAACCGCCGCCUCCGCCGCUCUUAGCUCCUCCAGCCACUAAGUCUCGAGCAACCGCUGCGCGUGGCCCUCGUCGCAGUGUCUCCCUGUUGCAUCCUAUCGCCCUGUCGCCAACCGCCGCCUCCACCGCUCUUAGCACUAGGAGGUCGACGUGGCCGACUUCCUUCUAGGCACUCCACUACAUCGCAUGAGGAUGAUCUGACAUCCUCGAGACCGACAGAGCCCGUUGGUCCUGAUGCAGCAGCACCAUUGUCUGAGCCAUCGGGACCUUGGCCAGAUGUGGAAACUUCAACUCGGGAUGACACAUAGGGUGAGUUGCCCACCAUGAUCAGCAGCGUUGGUCAGACCAUGGAGUCACAAAGAACAUGGCGCUGAAGAAGUACCUGCAGAGGACGGGGCAGCGCAUUAGGAUCGACAUUCCUCCAGGCUUCACCACCCCACGUGACGAUUGGUGUCCAACAUGGACGCGAGAGUUCGGCAUUAUAUUCCGACAAUAUGCUCCAGUCACUACCUUCAGCUGCUUAUAGGUGACUGAGGCGCAGUGCAUGGUUCUUUACAUGCGCAUCUUGGAGGAGUUCGAUAUGGACAUUCUCCAUGCGGACCAUGUGAAGAGGGCGGUGGAUGUCCAACUUUGCAAUAAAUUUAAGUCCUAUCGUGCAAAAAGGCACGAACAUUUUCGUGCGAUGGGAGAUGAAGCAGAAACUCACCCAUACAAUAAGAUAUCCCAAGAGGAUUGGGAGGUGGUGUGUUGCCAUUUCUGUGACCCACACUAUCAGGCUGUAUAUGGAAAAAAUGCUACAAACCGCAGCAAACUCCCGACGACACAUUGCGGUGGAUCGAGGUUAUUCGUUAAUCAUCGACAACGUUAUCCUGCGACUAGCGCCGAGGAGCUGCUGCUAGAUCUUUAUCAGAGAACGCACCAACAGCGAUUGGGGGAGUGGUGUGACGGUGCGCAAAGUAAACAUGCGCGGAUGGUCGAGCUGAGAGAUGCACCUGUUGAAGAGGGGAGCCAGCAAAUGACGAAUUAUUAGAUAAUCGCUCAAGUGCUUAGGGAACGAGCGGGGGGCUGGGUGAAAGGGCUUGGAAGUGGAUACAUCGCCCCCACAACAUCGUCUUCGAUGGGUGCAGCGGCACGUGCUAAGUUAGAACGAGUGCAUCGACAGGACGACACUUGGGUGGACGAGAUGGAUCAGCGGGUGCAAACGGUGGAGCUGGAGAACCAGGAUUUGAGAUGCUUGGUGUCUAACGUCAUAUUGGAGAACCAGAGUUUGAAAAAAAAGGUGUCCACCUUCGAAGCCACGGUCACAACUAUGAUGAACAGACAAGAACAGUUCGAAGAAAUGAUAUGCCAAUCUCGAUCAGAUGAUGCAGGUGGCUCCUCUCAUUAGAAGGCACUUAUUUUCCAUCUACUAGUUUAGUGGGGAUCAGAUUUCCAUUUGUGACAACGUUCCAUGCCCUCCAGACCAUUGUUUGAAGGGUUCGCGGCUGUCAUAACAUCAGCACGAUACCAUGCAUGCACUACAGUCGUCGGAUACAACUUUUGAUUAUUUCUUUGUAAUUUUUAUUAUUAUUUGAACAAAUAAAAUUUUUGUAUUUUAAUUUGAAUUUGUAUAAUGUAUACAGAUUUCUGAACAUAUGUUAUUUUUUUUAUUUUAAUUGAAUUUGUAUUUGAAUUCAAAAUUUUGAAUAAUUUAUGAUUUUUGUACUAA